CCUACGGGGGGCAGCAGUGAGGAAUAUUGGUCAAUGGCCGAGAGGCUGAACCAGCCAAGUCGCGUGAGGGAAGACGGCCCUACGGGUUGUAAACCUCUUUUGUCGGGGAGCAAAGCGAACCACGUGUGGUUCAUUGAGAGUACCCGAAGAAAAAGCAUCGGCUAACUCCGUGCCAGCAGCCGCGGUAAUACGGAGGAUGCGAGCGUUAUCCGGAUUUAUUGGGUUUAAAGGGUGCGCAGGCGGAGGUGCAAGUCAGCGGUCAAAUUGCGGGGCUCAACACCGUACUGCCGUUGAAACUGCCCGGCUAGAGUGCUGGAGAGGUAAGCGGAAUUACUAGUGUAGCGGUGAAAUGCGUAGAUAUUAGGAGGAACACCAGUGGCGAAGGCGGCUUACUGGACAGUAACUGACGUUGAGGCUCGAAAGCGUGGGGAGCAAACAGGAUUAGAUACCCCAGUAGUC
rnacentral:rRNA from 1 species